GAACCGUGCGAACGUUGUUCGGAAUCACUGGGCUUAAAGGGCGCGUAGGCGGUUCUCCAAGUCAGGGGUGAAAUCCUGCGGCUUAACCGUAGAAGUGCCUUUGAUACUGGAGAUCUUGAGGGAGGUAGGGGUCCGUGGAACUUCUGGUGGAGCGGUGAAAUGCGUUGAUAUCAGAAGGAACGCCGGUGGCGAAAGCGACGGACUGGAUCUCUUCUGACGCUGAGGCGCGAAAGCUAGGGGAGCAAACGGGAUUAGAUACCCCGGUAGUCCUAGCCCUAAACGAUGGGUACUAGAUUGUAAACUAACAUGGGUCUACAGUCGAAGCAAAAGUGUUAAGUACCCCGCCUGGGGAGUAUGGUCGCAAGGCUG
rnacentral:rRNA from 1 species